rnacentral:rRNA from 1 species
UACAGAGGGUGCAAGCGUUAAUCGGAAUUACUGGGCGUAAAGGGCGCGUAGGUGGUUAUGUAAGUGAGAUGUGAAAUCCCUGGGCUCAACCUGGGAACUGCAUCUUAUACUGCGUAGCUGGAGUACAUGAGAGGGUAGUGGAAUUUCCGGUGUAGCGGUGAAAUGCGUAGAUAUCGGAAGGAACACCAGUGGCGAAAGCGGCUUCCUGGUCCGACACCGACGUUCAGGCACGAAAGCGUGGGGAGCAAACAGG